rnacentral:misc_RNA from 1 species
UACGUAGGUGGCAAGCGUUGCCCGGAAUUAUUGGGCGUAAAGCGCGCGCAGGCGGCCUCUUAAGUCUGAUGUGAAAGACUCCGGCUCAAUCGGGGAGGGCCAUUGGAAACUGGGAGGCUUGAGUAUAGGAGAGAAGAGUGGAAUUCUACGUGUAGCGGUGAAAUGCGUAGAGAUGUGGAGGAACACCAGUAGCGAAGGCGACUCUCUGGCCUAUAACUGACGCUGAGGCGCGAAAGCGUGGGUAGCAAACAGG